UACGUAGGGGGCAAGCGUUGUCCGGAAUCAUUGGGCGUAAAGCGCGUGUAGGCGGCCCGGUAAGUCCGCUGUGAAAGUCGGGGGCUCAACCCUCGAAUGCCGGUGGAUACUGUCGGGCUAGAGUGCGGGAGAGGCGAGUGGAAUUCCUGGUGUAGCGGUGAAAUGCGCAGAUAUCAGGAGGAACACCAAUUGCGAAGGCAGCUCGCUGGGACGUUACUGACGCUGAGACGCGAAAGCGUGGGGAGCAAACAGG
rnacentral:rRNA from 1 species